rnacentral:rRNA from 1 species
CCUACGGGUGGCAGCAGUGGGGAAUAUUGGGCAAUGGGCGCAAGCCUGACCCAGCAACGCCGCGUGACGGAAGAAGGCCCUCGGGUUGUAAACUUCUUUUCUAUAGGACGAAGAAGUGACGGUACUAUAGGAAUAAGCCACGGCUAACUACGUGCCAGCAGCCGCGGUAAUACGUAGGUGGCGAGCGUUAUCCGGAUUUACUGGGUGUAAAGGGCGUGUAGGCGGGAGAGCAAGUCAGAUGUGAAAACUACAGGCUUAACCUGUAGCCUGCAUUUGAAACUGUUCUUCUUGAGUGAUGGAGAGGCAGGCGGAAUUCCUAGUGUAGCGGUGAAAUGCAUAGAUAUCACACAGAACACCGAUUGCGAAGGCAUCUCACGAAUCCGCGAUUGACGCUGAUGCACGAAAGCGUGGGUAUCAAACAGGAUUAGAUACCCGAGUAGUC